rnacentral:rRNA from 1 species
GGGCCCGCACAAGCGGUGGAGUAUGUGGUUUAAUUCGAUGCAACGCGAAGAACCUUACCAGGGUUUGACAUCCUGCGAAUCUCUUGGAAACGAGAGAGUGCCUUCGGGAACGCAGUGACAGGUGGUGCAUGGCUGUCGUCAGCUCGUGUCGUGAGAUGUUGGGUUAAGUCCCGCAACGAGCGCAACCCACGUCUUUAGUUGCCAGCGCGUAAUGGCGGGGACUCUAGAGAGACCGCCGGCGUUAAGCCGGAGGAAGGUGGGGAUGACGUCAAGUCCUCAUGGCCCUUAUGACUAGGGCUGCACACGUCCUACAAUGGAACGCACAAAGGGAUGCGAAACCGCGAGGUCAAGCA